rnacentral:rRNA from 1 species
AUUGAACGCUGGCGGCAGGCCUAACACAUGCACGUCGAACGAGUGGCGGACGGGUGAGUACUGUCUGGGAAACUGCCUGAUGGAGGGGGAUAACUACUGGAAACGGUAGCUAAUACCGCAUACCAUCAGAUGUGCCCAGAUUGGAUUAGCUUGUUGGUGGGGUACCGGCUCACCAAGGUCACGAUCCCUAGCUGGUCUGAGAGGAUGACCAGCGACACUGGAACUGAGACACGGUCCAGACUCCUACGGUAGUCAGCAGUGGGGAAUAGUGCACAAUGGGCGCAAGCCUGAUGCAGCCAUGCCGCGUGUAUGAAGUAGGCAGUCGGGUUGUAAAGUUCUUACAGCGGGGAGACGUUACCCGCAGAAGAAGCACCGGCUAAGUCCGUGCAAGCCGCCGCGGUAAUUC